CGGCAGCACAGUAAGAGCUUGCUCUUAUGGGUGGCGAGUGGCGGACGGGUGAGGAAUACAUCGGAAUCUACCUUUUCGUGGGGGAUAACGUAGGGAAACUUACGCUAAUACCGCAUACGACCUUCGGGUGAAAGCAGGGGACCUUCGGGCCUUGCGCGGAUAGAUGAGCCGAUGUCGGAUUAGCUAGUUGGCGGGGUAAAGGCCCACCAAGGCGACGAUCCGUAGCUGGUCUGAGAGGAUGAUCAGCCACACUGGAACUGAGACACGGUCCAGACUCCUACGGGAGGCAGCAGUGGGGAAUAUUGGACAAUGGGCGCAAGCCUGAUCCAGCCAUACCGCGUGGGUGAAGAAGGCCUUCGGGUUGUAAAGCCCUUUUGUUGGGAAAGAAAAGCAGUCGGUUAAUACCCGGUUGUUCUGACGGUACCCAAAGAAUAAGCACCGGCUAACUUCGUGCCAGCAGCCGCGGUAAUACGAAGGGUGCAAGCGUUACUCGGAAUUACUGGGCGUAAAGCGUGCGUAGGUGG
rnacentral:rRNA from 1 species